rnacentral:rRNA from 1 species
GACGAACGCUGGCGGCGUGCCUAAUACAUGCAAGUAGAACGCUGAAGGAGGAGCUUGCUUCUCUGGAUGAGUUGCGAACGGGUGAGUAACGCGUAGGUAACCUGCCUGGUAGCGGGGGAUAACUAUUGGAAACGAUAGCUAAUACCGCAUAAGAGUGGAUGUUGCAUGACAUUUGCUUAAAAGGUGCACUUGCAUCACUACCAGAUGGACCUGCGUUGUAUUAGCUAGUUGGUGGGGUAACGGCUCACCAAGGCGACGAUACAUAGCCGACCUGAGAGGGUGAUCGGCCACACUGGGACUGAGACACGGCCCAGACUCCUACGGGAGGCAGCAGUAGGGAAUCUUCGGCAAUGGACGGAAGUCUGACCGAGCAACGCCGCGUGAGUGAAGAAGGUUUUCGGAUCGUAAAGCUCUGUUGUAAGAGAAGAAUGAGUGUGAGAGUGGAAAGUUCACACUGUGACGGUAUCUUACCAGAAAGGGACGGCUAACUA